rnacentral:lncRNA from 1 species
CGGCACUCUCACCACCGAGCAACCAACCGUCGUCCACUCGGAACGCCACUCGGAACGCCACUCGUCGCCGACCUCUCGCGACCUCUAGAUUUGUCGGCGGCUAGCAUCAUCCGCCUUUCUCGGCCAAUCCACGAAAACGGUUGAAAGAAAACGGUGGAAAGGCGGCGAAAUGACUAAACGAUCGACGCUCGGGAUUGCCGACCACAAUAAAAUCG